GAAAGAGUAUGCUAUAGGUUUAAGCUUUUAGAUUCAUGAUCUGACGAAGAAUGAAAUAUUCCUCUUUCA
rnacentral:tRNA from 1 species